rnacentral:rRNA from 1 species
ACGGCGAGUGAAGCGGGAAGAGCUCAAAUUUGAAAUCUGGUGGCCUCAGGUCAUCCGAGUUGUAAUCUAUAGAAGUGUUUUCCGUGCUGGCUCAUGUACAAGUCCCUUGGAACAGGGCGUCAUAGAGGGUGAGAAUCCCGUCCUUGACAUGAACUACCAGUGCUCUGUGAUACAUUUUCAACGAGUCGAGUUGUUUGGGAAUGCAGCUCAAAAUGGGUGGUAAAUUCCAUCUAAAGCUAAAUAUUGGCGAGAGACCGAUAGCGAACAAGUACCGUGAGGGAAAGAUGAAAAGCACUUUGGAAAGAGAGUUAAACAGUAUGUGAAAUUGUUGAAAGGGAAACGAUUGAAGUCAGUCGUGCUCUUUGGAUUCAGCCGGUUCUGCCGGUGUACUUCCUUUGAGUGGGGUCAACAUCAGUUUUGAUCGCUGGAUAAAGGCAGGAGGAACGUAGUACCCUCGGGUAAACUUAUAGCCUCUUGUCACAUACAGUGGUUGGGACUGAGGAACGCAGCACGCCUUUAUGGCCGGGAUUCGUCCACGUACGUGCUUAGGAUGUUGACAUAAUGGCUUUAAACGACCCGUCUUGAACCACGGACC